rnacentral:rRNA from 1 species
UCAAGCUAUGUAGGGCACAAGGCGGAUGCCUUGGCAUCAAGAGCCGAAGAAGGACGCGACAAGCUGCGAAAAGCUGCGGGUAGGAGCAAAUAUCCAUCGAUCCGCAGAUAUCCGAAUGGGGAAACCCGCCCGGGGUCAAUACCCGGGCACCUGCGUGUGAAUAAAAUAGCACGUUGGAGGGAGACGAGGUGAACUGAAACAUCUAAGUAGCCUCAGGAAAAGAAAACAACAGUGAUUCCGCAAGUAGUGGCGAGCGAACGCGGAGCAGCCUAAACCUUUAAUCUUUCGGGAUUGAAGGGGUUACGGACCGGCAUAACGAAAGGAAAGUACAGCCGAAGCAGACUGGAAAGUCAGCACCAUAGAGGGUGACAGACCCGUAGGCGAAGUAUGGACCAAUCAAGCCGGAAUCCAAAGUACCAUGAGACACGUGGAAUCUCGUGGGAAGUCGGGAGGCCCACCUCCCAAGGCUAAAUACUACUUGAUGACCGAUAGUGAAACAGUACCGUGAGGGAAAGGUGAAAAGGACCCCGGGAGGGGAGUGAAAGAGAACCUGAAACCUUGUGCUUGCAAACAGUUGCGGGGCGUUAAUGCCUUGCAGCGUACUUUUUGUAGAACGGUCCGGCGACUUGCUUUAUGCAGCGAGGUUAAGCACUUAAGGUGCGGAGCCGCAGGGAAACCGAGUCCUAACAGGGCAACAGUUGCAUGAUGCAGACCCGAAACCGGGUGACCUAUCCAUGGGCAGGCAGAAGCUAGAGUAAAAUCUGGUGGAGGGCCGAACCCACCGGCGCGAAAAGCCGGGGGAUGACCUGUGGAUAGCGGAGAAAUUCCAAUCGAACUCGGAGAUAGCUGGUUCUCCCCGAAAUAGCUUUAGGGCUAGCCUUAGGUUAGUCUGACGGGGGUAAAGCACUGUAUUGGCUAGGGGUCCAACCAGGCUACCGAACCUUAACAAACUCAGAAUACCGUCAUGAUGAUGCCUAGGAGUCAGACUGUGUGAGAUAAGUCUCACAGUCGAGAGGGAAAAAGCCCAGACCAUCAGCUAAGGUCCCUAAAUUACGGUUAAGUGGAAAAGGAUGUGGGUUUGCUAAGACAACUAGGAUGUUGGCUUAGAAGCAGCCACUCAUUCAAAGAGUGCGUAAUAGCUCACUAGUCGAGUGGGCCUGCGCCGAAGAUUAACGGGUCUAAAACCGUAUACCGAAGCUAUGGAUACAUAUCGUUGAUAUGUGUGGUAGGGGAGCGUGCCGCAGUAGGCAGAAGCACCACCGAAAGGAGGUGUGGACGAAACGGCAGUGAGAAUGCCGGAAUGAGUAGCGAAAGUGAAGUGAGAAUCUUUACCAUCGAAAAUCCGAGGUUUCCUGGGCAAGGCUCGUCCUCCCAGGGUUAGUCGGGACCUAAGCCGAGGCCGAAAGGCGUAGGUGAUGGACAACACGUAGAAAUUCGUGUACCGCCGAUGUCUGCUUGAGAGAAGUGGGGACGCAGAAGGAUAGCGUGAGCCGGCCGCCGGAAGAGCCGGUUCAAGCGUUGAGGGUAUCGUGUAGGCAAAUCCGCACGAUGUUAAGCCUGAGACGUUACGGGGAGGGAAAUACAAGUACCGAAGCAUGCGAGUCCACGCUGACGAGAAAAGCCACUAUUGAGGACAUAGGCGCCCGUACCGCAAACCGACACAGGUGGAUGAGGAGAGGAUCCUAAGAUGAGCGGAAUAAGCAUUGUUAAGGAACUCGGCAAAUUGGCCCCGUACGUUCGCAAUAAGGGGCGCUUGAGAGAUCAAGCCGCAGUGAAAUGGCCCAAGCAACUGUUUACCAAAAACACAGGUCUCUGCUAAAUCGAAAGAUGAAGUAUAGGGGCUGACGCCUGCCCGGUGCUGGAAGGUUAAGGGGAAAGGUUAGCGCAAGCGAAGCUUUGAACUUAAGCCCCAGUAAACGGCGGCCGUAACUAUAACGGUCCUAAGGUAGCGAAAUUCCUUGUCAGGUAAGUUCUGACCCGCACGAAUGGCGUAAUGAUUUGGGCGCUGUCUCAACAAUGCAUCCGGUGAAAUUGUAGUACUCGUGAAGAUGCGAGUUACCCGCGACUAGACGGAAAGACCCCAUGGAGCUUUACUGUAACCUGAUAUUGGGUUCUGGCAUUUCUUGUACAGGAUAGGUGGGAGGCGUUGAAACUUGUGCGUCAGCAUAAGUGGAGCCGACGUUGGGAUACCACCCUGGAGAUGCCGGGAUUCUAACCGUAAGCCGUAAUCCGGUUUCGGGACACUGUCAGGCGGGCAGUUUGACUGGGGCGGUCGCCUCCAAAAGAGUAACGGAGGCGUUCGAAGGUUGCCUCAGCACGGACGGAAAUCGUGCGUAGAGUAUAAAGGCAGAAGGCAGCUUAACUGAGAGACAAACAGGUCGAUCAGGUACGAAAGUAGGACUUAGUGAUCCGGCGGUAUGAGAGUGGAAUUGCCGUCGCUCAACGGAUAAAAGUUACCCUGGGGAUAACAGGCUGAUUCCUCCCAAGAGUUCACAUCGACGGGGGAGUUUGGCACCUCGAUGUCGGCUCAUCACAUCCUGGGGCUGUAGCAGGUCCCAAGGGUUCGGCUGUUCGCCGAUUAAAGUGGUACGCGAGCUGGGUUCAGAACGUCGUGAGACAGUUCGGUCCCUAUCUGUCGUGGGCGCAGGAUAUUUGAGAGGGUCUGUCCCUAGUACGAGAGGACCGGGAUGGGGGCUCCUAUGGUGCAUCGGUUGUCACGCCAGUGGCACAGCCGGGUAGCCAAGAGCCUUUCGGAUAAGCGCUGAAGGCAUCUAAGCGCGAAGCCAUCCUCAAGAUUAGAUAUCCCAUCCAGUUAAUGGAGUAAGGCCCCAUGUAGACUACAUGGUUGAUAGGCCGGGAGUGUAAGCACAGUGAUGUGUUGAGCGGACCGGUACUAAUAGGCCGAGGGCUUGACCU